rnacentral:rRNA from 1 species
GAGUUUGAUCAUGGCUCAGGAUUAACGCUGGCGGCAUGCCUAAUACAUGCAAGUCGAACGGAGUAGCAAUACUUAGUGGCGAACGGGUGAGUAACACGUAUCUAAUCUACCAUUUAGUGGGGAAUAACUGUUGGAAACGACAGCUAAUACCGCAUAAUAUUGCUGGAUAAUUUCCAGUAAUGAAAGGAGCUUUCAAGCUCCGCUGAUUGAUGAGGAUGCGGCGCAUUAGCUAGUUGGUAGGGUAAUGGCCUACCAAGGCAAUGAUGCGUAGCCGAUCUGAGAGGAUGAACGGCCACAUUGGGACUGAGACACGGCCCAAACUUCUACGGAAGGCAGCAGUAGGGAAUUUUUCACAAUGGGCGAAAGCCUGAUGGAGCAAUGCCGCGUGACUGAUGAAGGUCUUCGGAUUGUAAAGGUCUGUUGUAAGGGAAGAAAUGGUAAAACAGGAAAUGGUUUUAUCUAUGACGGUACCUUACCAGAAAGCCACGGCUAACUAUGUGCCAGCAGCCGCGGUAAUACAUAGGUGGCAAGCGUUAUCCGGAUUUAUUGGGCGUAAAGGGUGCGCAGACGGUUUUGCAAGUCUGAGGUUAAAUUUAGG